UUUGCAGAUUUGAAUGACAUCUCCUCCCUUUCCUGAUUUUUUAGUUUUUCGUUCUCUCUCUUCCUUUAUUUUUCUCUCUCCUCCUAUAAAUCCUCUUGUUCGACUUUAUGUUCAAUGUUCGAUUUUCAGGAUUUCAGGUUCUUCAAUGUUCAAGUUUCAUUGUUCCUAAAAAAAUUUCUUCUUAUUGCGAUUUUCUCUCUUUCAAUUCGCCAGAGGAUCACCACUAAUGCUGGUGUUAAUGAGGGUGAUGUGGGUGACAAUGUGGAUUUAAUUAGUGGACUACCUGAUGAUAUACUGGUCUACUUGUUACCUUUGGUGGAAAUGUAAACAGCAGCAAGAACUAGCCUUCUUUCCAAAAGGUGGAGAUAUGUUUGGACUUACCUAAUUCAUUCGGAUUUUGAUGUCCCUAGGUUUUACUCGAUCCUCGAUAACCCGACUUUUUAUCAAGUAGAUAAAUAUCAUCAAUGAGUUCAACAGGUAAUAACCAUCUAUCGUACCCCAUGGCUAAGUACCUUCAGAUUACAUUUCCUGCUCCAUGGCCUAUAUGUUGUUGAUAUUGAUAAGUGGGUCAGAAUUGCCUUUUACAAAAACGUUCAUAACCUGGAGUUGAACUUAAAUACUUUCGCUUUGUCAUAUUUGGUUUCCGUGAUGGAUUACUGCAGGUACAUUUCAGUAAUUAUUGUGCUGGCAUCUGACAUUUGAUGCAGAACCAAAGAAGACGAUUCAACAGAUUGCAAGAGGACUUAUAGGGUCUGUCAUUCACAUGAAGUUUACUCAUAUAAGCACUUUCAUUCUGGAAAUAUUUGUAUUUGUUUUGUGUGUUACUCAUUCGUCCCUGAUCUUGGUUACUAGGAAUCAGUACUUAAGCCUCUAUCUAGCCAAUAACAAAGUUUUCGAUGCAUGUUCUCAAAAAUGAGCCAACACACCUUAAAGAAUUAAGUUUACUUUUACAGAAAUUUAGUUUACUUUUAUAGAGAUUUAGUCUACUUUAAGAUAAAUAGGCAUUGGAGGGUAGUGUUUUGGUUUGUGAUUUACUUUUAUUUAUUCUAUUUAAAAACAUUAGCCUACUAGCUCAAUAGUAGAGAAUUUGUGAAAAUGCACAAAAGAUGUGGGUUCGAAUCCCACGUAGGUUCAUCUUUACUUUUUGUAUUGUUUUAUUUACUUUUAAUGUGAAAACCUUUACUUUGAAUUA